CCUACGGGCGGCAGCAGUGGGGAAUAUUGGACAAUGGGGGGAACCCUGAUCCAGCCAUGCCGCGUGUGUGAAGAAGGCCCUCGGGUUGUAAAGCACUUUCAGUGAGGAAGAACGCCUGGUGGUUAAUACCCAUCAGGAAAGACAUCACUCACAGAAGAAGCACCGGCUAACUCCGUGCCAGCAGCCGCGGGAAUACGGAGGGUGCGAGCGUUAAUCGGAAUUACUGGGCGUAAAGCGCGCGUAGGUGGCUUGAUAAGCCGGUUGUGAAAGCCCCGGGCUCAACCUGGGAACGGCAUCCGGAACUGUCAAGCUAGAGUGCAGGAGAGGAAGGUAGAAUUCCCGGUGUAGCGGUGAAAUGCGUAGAGAUCGGGAGGAAUACCAGUGGCGAAGGCGGCCUUCUGGACUGACACUGACACUGAGGUGCGAAAGCGUGGGUAGCAAACAGGAUUAGAUACCCGGGUAGUC
rnacentral:rRNA from 1 species